rnacentral:lncRNA from 1 species
GACUUAAGUUCACAAGUCAAAUUGUGAUGGUCAAAGGAGGCUACAUGUCACGACCCAAAAUCUAACCAUGAUCGUGAUGGCGCCUAUCGUGUUACAAGGCAAGCCUAUUUCCCCAAAUAUUACUACUAAAUCGAUUAUAAAAAUUUAAUAAAACAAUACCAACAUUUGAAUUUCUCAUAAACUAAAUCAACUCUAAAUAUAAUAUAGAAAAUACGAAAACGAGCCCAAAACAUCAAGGUGUCACUAAGUCAUGAGCGUCUAAAUCUAUAAACUAAGAUAUAUAAACUGUCUAACUGUCCAAAAGAAGAAAUGACAAAAGGAGUAACAAGGUCCUGCGGACGCUAGCAGCUACCUUGCAAUCUCCACAGAUAGCCGGCCUGAACUCAACGAUCGCCGCCUUCUAACUCACCUGGAUCUGCACAUAAAGUGCAGGGUAUAAUAUGAGUACAACCGACUCAGUAGUAACAGAAAUAACUAAGGAACUGAGCAGUAGUAACGAGCUAAGAGAAUAAUCCAAUUAUUAUUUCCACAAUUAAGUACAAACAUGAGUAGACAGGUAAUUUCAUAAAUCAGUAAGACUACAAGGAAAAUUAACAGGUAAAUGCAGCAACAGCAAAAGUAAAUGCAACCUCACAGCAAUGUCACUCCAUCACUCAUCAUUCGCACUCAGCACUCAACGCUCAACACUCUGCGCUCACUGGGGGUGUGUACAGACUCUGGAGGGGCUCCCAAAGCCCAAGCGCUAAGCACGGACAACUCACGUGCCAUCAUAUCAAUAUCUAGAUCCGCACGGUCAACUCACGUACUACGCGGACAACUCACGCGCUAUGGUAUAAAUACCUAGACCCGUACGGUCAACUCACGUGCUACGCGGAUAACUCAUGCGCUAUGGUAUUAAUAUCCUCACAACCAGGCCCUCGGCCUCACUCAAUCAUGUACCUCACUAGCCUCACCAUCAUCAAUAAAUAAGGGAACACAACUCACAUCAAGUAUCACAACAUAUUAGUAAAUAAUAGAGACUGAGGUAAACAUGUACAAUAAUUUCUAUGACUGAGUACAAAUAAUGUGAGUAUGAAUAAAGCUUAAGCAUGAUCUCUAACAUGAAGGCACACAAGUUCAACAACAAGUAACUACAUAAACACAGAUGAUGGCCAUGAGGCCUCACAGGGACGGACCAAGUCUCAAUCCCUCGAGGUAUACACCAACACGCCCGUCACCUAGUGUGGAUAGCACCUCCAAAUAGUCACACGAUAUCAAAUUAUCUAGGUUUAUACCCUCAAAGCCAGAGUUAAAAUUGUUACUUACCUUAACAACGUAAAAUCCUACUCCGGGAUGCCCUCGUCUCUGGACUCGGUCUCCAAAAGCUCUGAAUCUAACCAAAAAUCAGAAUACUACUAUCAACAUAGUCUAAAUCGAAUUUCACAAUAAAAACUACAUAAAUAUGCCAAAAAUCCGAAAUCGGCCAAAAUCCGGCCCCCGGGACCACAUCUCGAAAUUAGUCAAAAAUAGCAUAAUAAUAAACCUCAUCCUCUCUCGAGUCUAACUAUAUAAAAUUCAUCAAAAUCGGACUCCGUUUGGUCCCUCAAAUCCUCACUUAAACUCUCCAAAACUCAAACCCUAACUCCCUCAAUUUCACUUUGAAAUCAUCAAUCAAAUCCCAAAAACGAAGAUGGAUUCAUGAAAUAUAACCAAAAUUGAGUAGAGAACACUUACCCCAAUCUUUAUGGUAAAAAUCUCCCCUAAAAUCGCCCAAAUCCGAGCUCCCCAACUCAAAAUAUGACCAAAUGAACAAACUCUCGUUUUAUAUAUUUUUUUGUCAUAUAUUCUGCCUCAUUUCUCAUGAUAAACGAUCCCGAAACUCACUUUUUAUGCCUCCAAUGGAUUCGUUGUGAAAUAUUAGUCAAGUUAGGCUUUUGAAUCACUCAAUUUGACGUUAUAAUGAAUGAGAUAUGUUGGUUUCAAUAUUUGCAAAUAGUGCAGAUUUUUAAAUACGCCGUAAGUGGCAAUUGCGUAAUUAAUCUGAAAAAUCUAGCAACCUAAUUCUUAGUAAAAUGACCAUAAAAUCCUCAUACGAUGUCCAAAUUCGAUGAUUCUUUUUGCUACAGGUCCGUAAUUACGAUACGAAUCUAAUUAUUCAAUCAAAAAAGAAAUCGGAGCUCAUUUAUUCAAUAUGAUAUCAUUUAUGUUUGAAAAAACGGUGUCGAAACAUAAGAAAAACGAGCGCAACACAACCCAAACCUAUCCGAAACUCACCCGAGUCCCUCGAGACCUCAACCAAUAAUUCCAACAAGUCAUAUAUCACUACCCGAACUUAGUCGAACCUUCGGAACACCCAAAACAACACCAAAACACCAAAUCAACCUCUGAUUCAAGCCUAAGAACUUCUAAACUUCCAACUUUCGCCAAUUCAAGCCUAAUUCUACCACAGACCUCUAAAUUACAUUUCGGACACACUCCUAAGUCUAAAAUCACCCAACAAAGCUAANNNNNNNNNNNNNNNNNNNNNNNUUUCACUCAAAAACUACUCUGAACCCAAACCUACCAACUCGAUACAACUCAACACAGCUGAACAACACAUAAAUAAGUAGAAAUGAGAAAAAUGGGGCUACAACUCUCGGAACGAUCGACCGGGUUGUUACACUACAAAUUACAGUACGCGGCAGGGAUCCAACAAUUUAUUUGCCAACAAGAGUAUUAUUAUUUUAGAUCUUUCCACAUGUGCCAAGCAUAUGAGCUAUAGCUGUAUACAAGUUAUUUUUGUACACUUUUGUAGUUUAGCCUUUCUAAAGAGACAAAUACAAUAAAUAUAUUGUACAAAUUUGUAAGGAGAUUUGUCAUUUUGUUUUGUGUAGUUUGUAUAAGUAGAAUGUACAGGAUUGAAAUGAAAUAUACAGAAGAAAUUUCUCUCAAUUGUAUCUCUGUUUUUACAUGGUAUCAGAAGCAAGGUUCAUUUCAUUCUCUCAUCAUCUUCAAUGGAUCCUAGCUUUAUUAUUGCAGAUGAUUCCCAAUCCAGUGGUGCAACUCAAUCUACUGCAACCAUUGUGAUUGAUUCUUCUCACCAUUACUUUCUUCACCCAUCAGACUCACCAGGUAUGAAUCUGGUUACUUCUGUUUUUGAUGGAAAAGGUUUUGGAGGUUGAAGGUGUGCUGUUUUAAUAGCUUUAUCAGCCAAGAACAAGCUUGGUUUCAUUGAUGGCACUCUCCCUAUUUCAGAAUCUGACUCUACUCUCAUUAGGUCUUGGAGUCGAUGCAAUGACAUGGUUCUAUCUUGGCUCUUGAACUCUCUUUCCAAGGACAUUGCUGAAAAUGUUCUUUAUUCUCAAAGUACUAAAGACCUGGGGAAUGAUUUACAAGACAUGUAUGGUCAAACUAAUGGAGCCAAGUUAUUUCAGUUACAAAGAGAGUUAAGUGGACUACCUCAAGGUAACUCUAAUGUUGCAAGCUAUUUCACUAAGAUGAAGUGUUUAUGGGAUGAGCUUGAUGCUCUUAAUACUUUCUCUAACAGUGUUUGUGAAUGUGUCUGUGGAGCCAAAGUAAAAAAUCAUAAGGCACAAAAAGAUCAAAGACUCCUGUAGUUUUUAAUGGGAUUGAAUGAAUCUUACAUAAGAGUCAUAAGCAACAUUUUUAUAUCUUCACCUUUGCCUUCCAUUGGAGAGGCUUAUUCUCUUAUCAUACAAGAUGAAAAUCAGCGUGAAAUUCAUCCUAAUCCUGCAUAUCCAGGAGAGUCUGCUUCAUUUAUUGCUGAUGGACAUAAUUUUGGGAUAAAGAGGUUCAAUUCUGGAGAUUUAAAGGGACAGAAAUUUAACUCUUGACAGCAAAAGUAAUACAUCUACAUGUGCUUAAUGUAAGAAGUAAGGUCAUAGUGUUGAUAAAUAUCAUAGGAUCCAUGGUUUUUAUGGAUAUUUUAAGUUCACAAAGUCAAAACAAUAUCAGGCAACAAUUCAGGGAAAUGUUACAAAUGCUAACGAAGAAUCUGAAGGCAAGCUUGUUCAUAAUAAUGAAUAAAACAUGGAAGGAAGAUCACUUACUCACAAAUCAUUUGGCUCAGAUUUCCCAUCUCUUGCAACAAUUGAAAUUUGAUCAACAAAGUCCUUCAACUUCAGAUGUUGUUGUUAAUGCCAACUGUGCUGGUAUGGCCCCUUCUUAUAAUUGCACCUCUUGUUUCACGCAUAUUAACAAUGAUUAUUGGAUUUUAGACUGUGGUGCUUUUGAGCAUAUGACUUUUAACAAGAGUGUGUUAAUAAAAUUAAAGUUAUUAUCCUUUCCUUUGACUGUCAAUCUUCUUAAUUCCUAUAGAGUUAAGGUAACUCAUUCAGGGUCAGUUGCUUUAUUUUCUAACCUGAUUUUGCAUAAUGUUCUUUUUGUCCCUACAUUCAGAUUCAAUUUCUUAUCAGUUCACAAAUUAUGCAAACAAUUCAGUUACUUAUGUUGUUUCUCUUCUACUGAUUGUGUCUUGUAGGGCCCUUCUCUAAAGAGGCCUUUGGUUCUUGAUGAGGAAAAGGGAGGUCUAUACAUUAUGCAGUCAAGACAUCUACCUAUCAAUUUUCAAAAAUCACCUAGUUCUAGUUGUAUUCUAAUUUCUAGAAAAAACUUGUGUAAAAGUCAAGUUGUUCUAGUUUUUUCUUCUUAUUUCUCUUCUACUGAUUGUAUCUUGCAGGGCCCUUCUUUGAAGAGGCCUCUGGUUCUUGAUGAGGAGAAGGGAGGUCUAUACAUCAUGCAGUCAAGACAUCUACCUAUCAAUUUUUAAAAAUUACCUAGUUCUAGUUGUAUUCCAAUUUCUAGAAAAAAAACUUGUGUAAAAGUCAAGUUGUUCCAGUUUUUUCUUCUUGUUUUAUUAGGUCUCAUGUAAAAUAAAGGCUAUGACAUUGUCGUUUAGGCCAUUUUCCCUUAUAUAAUAUGAAGAAUAUUUCAUCUAUUCCAGUCAAUGUCUUUAAAUUCUCUUCCCCUUAUGAUGUUUGUCCCCCUGCGAGGCAAUAAAAAUUGCCUUUCCCCUCAAGUUCAAUUUCUACAAAACAGAUUUUUGAUCUAAUUCACAUUGAUAUAUGGGGACCGUAAAACACUCCUAGUUACAAUAGGUUUAAGUAUUUUCUAACUAUAGUUGAUGACUAUAGUAGAGGAACUUGGACCUAUUUGCUCUCAACUAAGUCUAAUGUUUUUCCUAUCUUAAAAUCUUUCUUGGCAAUGGUUGAAAGGCAAUUUAACACAAAAGUUAAAAUCAUACGCUCAAAUAAUGCAUUUGAACUGGGAACGAGAACUGUUCAGAAAUAUGUUUUACUCUUACAAGGGAUCAUACACCAAACUACAUGUACAUCAACGCCUCAACAAAUGGAGUAGUCGAGCAUAAGCACAAGCACUUACUGGAAACCUCUAGAGCACUCCUAUAUCAGUCUCACCUUCCUAUUACUUAUUGGGGAGAAUGCAUCUUAACUGCCACCUACCUAAUAAAUAGGUUUCCUUAUAAGGUUCUUGGUUUUAAGACUCCUUAUGAAGUUUUGUUUGGAUUUGCACCUUCUUAUUCUUAGUUGAGGUACUUUGGGUGCCUAUGCUUUGCAUCCACAUCUACAGUUCAUAGGACUAAGUUUGGACCUAGAGCUGAAACAUAUGUCUUUCUUGGAUAUCCAUAUGGUAAAAAGGGAUUUAAGCUUCUAAGUUUAUCAACUAGGAAGGUCAUUAUAUCUAAAAAUAUAAUUUUUCAUGAAGACUAUUUUCCAUUUAGUUCCAAUCCUUCUAACAAAUUUAAUGGUUCUAUCUUUCCUUCUAUUCCUACUUUAGCCACAAAUCAUCAAGCUUCUUUGUCAAGUACUUCUAAUCCCACUUCAGUCACAAAUUAUCAAUAUGAUGCCUCACUUGUUAGUAUUGAAAUCAGUCCUAUAUCAUAUUCAUCUGAUUUAUCACACUCACCAUCAAAAGAUUCAGUACCACCUUUUUUGAUGAUACUAUUCAGACUAAUUCUCCACCAGUUUUGCGUAAAUCUACUAGAACUCAUACAACACCAUCAUAUCUGAAUGAUUAUAUAGGUAGUGCAGUACAAUUCACAGAUGUAUCCUCUACCUGUUUUUUGUCUCCUAUUACUGCACCUUCAUUUUCUUUCACUGCACGCUCUCCUUCAAAUAGACAUUUUCUCAAUUCAUUAUCCUAGAUUCAAGAACCAAUCAGCUAUUACCAAGCUUCUUUGCAUCCUGAUUGGCAAGAAGCAAUGGAAAAAGAGAUUGAUACGCUUAUUCUCAAUGAUACUUGGGAAGUGGUUAAGUUGCCUCCUGGAAGAAAGGCUUUACACUACAAAUGGGUUUAUAAUGUUAAGCAAAAUUCAGAUGGAACCAUCGAAAGACUGAAAGCAAGACUUGUAAUUCGUGGUGAAACGCAACGUGAAGGAAUUGACUUCACGAAGACUUUUUCUCCGGUUGUCAAGAUGACUACCAUCAGAUAUCUCUUAGCUAUAGCAGUAAAGAAAAAAUGGGGACUUUAUCAGUUGGAUGUGAACAAUGUCCUUUUUACAUGGCGACCUAAAUAAAGAAGUGUACAUGUAUUUUCCUAACGAUAUGACUCCUCCUACUGCUAAUCAUGUUUGCAAACUCAGAAAAUCACUCUAUGGACUGUCUCAAGCAUCUCGGCAGUGGUAUGCCAAAUUGACUGCAGAUUUGCGUUUUAAAGGUUAUAUGCAUUCGCUGAAUGAUUAUUCAUUGUUAUUUAAGAGGAAAGAUUCAUCAAUUUCUAUCGUCGCGGAGUAUGUUGACGAUAUUCUUCUUACUGGUAAUGAUGUGCGGGAAUUAAAUGCAUUAAAGGUUUUCCUUGAUCAAGAAUUUAUAAUUAAGGACUUAGGGGACUUACAUUACUUCCUGGGAAUGGAGGUUUUGAGAGAACCUGAUGGAUUGAUCCUUUGUCAACAGAAAGUCACCAUGGAUUUACUCCAGGAAUAUGAAUCUCUUCAGCUCACAUCUGUCUCAUCACCACUAGAUUCUUCUGUCAAGCUCUGAGUGGGAGAAGGUACUCCAAUUGCAGAUCCUACAUUUUAUCGUCGACUACUUAGAAAAUUGAACUACCUUACCCAUACAAGACCCGACCUUUAUUCCACUGUCCAACACCUAAGUCAAUAUAUGUAAGAUCCCCGCAAACCUCACUUAGACUCUGCCCUGAGAGUCCUUCGUUAUUUGCUCAAAGAUCCUGGUUUGGGUUUAUUCAGGAGUUCUUCACAAUCUUUCUAACUUCUUGCAUUUUGUGACUCAGAUUGGGGUACAUAUCCUGAGUCGCGUCGCUCAAUCAGUGGCUUUUAUAUUUAUGUUGGAGGUUCCCCAAUCUCAUGAAAGUCGAAGAAACAAACAUCUGUCUCUCUUAGUUCAGCCGAGGAAGAAUACCGUUCGAUGAGGCAAGUAGUUGCAGAAUUGACAUGGCUUGUGCGAUUAUUUGCAGAUCUCUCUGUUCCUAUCUCUCUUCCAGCUCAUCUUCACUCAGAUAGUCAAGCUGCGAUUCAUAUCGCCAAAAAUCCGGUCUUUCAUGAAAGAACCAAGCACGUGCACUUAGAUUGCCAUUUUGUUCGACAACAAUUCUUAGCAGGUUUGAUUUCACUAUCCUUUGUUCGAUCUUUCUCACAAAUUAAAGAUCUCUUCAUAAAAUCUCUCUCCGGACGGGUAUAUCAUAGUCUUCUGGGCAAGUUGGGUGUUCUCACCGCCCUUCCAACAUGGGGAGGGGGGUGUUGACCAAGUCACAAAAGAUGAUUAAAUUAUUAAAGAUAAACAUGAUCAAGCAGGUCUCAAAUUGUUGGAGAUAAGCUGGGAGGAAACUUAUUGUUCUAGAGACGAAAAGAAAAGCAAAGGAAAUUCUCUGUUAAAUAGAUACUAGCAAAGUCUAAGUGUAAGACUUAAGUUCACAAGUUAGAUUGUGAUGGUCAAAGGAGGCUACAAAUUGCAAUACGUGGCAGGGAUCCAACAAUUUAUUUGCCAACAAGAGUAUUAUUAUUAUAGAUCUUUCCACAUGUGCCAAGCAUGUGAGCUAUAGUUAUAUACAACUUAAUUUUGUACAGUUUUGUAGUUUAGCCUUUCUAAAGAGACAUAUACAAUAAAGAUACUGUACAAAUCUGUUAGGAGAUUUUGUCAUUUUGUUUUCUAUAGUUUGUAUAAGUAGAAUGUACGGGAUUGAAAUGAAAUACAGAGAAGAAAUUUCUCUCAAUU